CCCGCUGAACUUAAGCAUAUCAAUAAGCGGAGGAAAAGAAACUAACAAGGAUUCCCCUAGUAACUGCGAGUGAAGCGGGAAAAGCUCAAAUUUAAAAUCUGGUGGCCCUUGGUCAUCCGAGUUGUAAUUUAGAGAAGCGUCUUCCGCGCUGGACCAUGCACAAGUCUCCUGGAAUGGAGCGUCAUAGAGGGUGAGAAUCCCGUCUUUGGCAUGGAUGCACCAGGGCUUCUGUGAUGCGCUCUCGAAGAGUCGAGUUGUUUGGGAAUGCAGCUCAAAAUGGGUGGUGAACUCCAUCUAAAGCUAAAUAUUGGCGAGAGACCGAUAGCGAACAAGUACCGUGAGGGAAAGAUGAAAAGCACUUUGGAAAGAGAGUGAAACAGUACGUGAAAUUGUUGAAAGGGAAACGCUUGAAGUCAGUCGCGUCGACCGAGACUCAGCCUUGCCUUGGCUUGGUGUACUUCUCGGGUGACGGGUCAGCAUCAAUUUUGCCCCUCGGAUAAUGACAAGGGAAAGGUAGCACCUUUAUAGGUGUGUUAUAGUCUCCUGUCGCAUGCGAGGGUUGGGAUUGAGGAACUCAGCACGCGCCUUUUGGUGUCGGGGCUUCGGCCUACGUACGUGCUUAGGAUGCUGGCAUAAUGGCUUUAAACGACCCGUCUUGAAACACGG
rnacentral:rRNA from 1 species